AAUGGCUUUGUUACAAAAAAAAAAAUAAGUUUGAACUAAAAGGAUCACCGAAUGCGAAUCGCGCUCUUGCAGUCGAAAUAUAUCAGCCCUCAUCAAAAUUAAUACCUAAACAGCAGGGUUUUUCAGAGGAAAGAAAAUAAAAUACAAUAGAAAUGGACUUACCUGAAAGAAAAGAGAAAAAAUUGAUUUAGUUAAAAUUUAUGUAAGUUGAAAAAUAAACUUAUUAACUUUGCCUGCCAAGAGAAAAGAAAGAGGAAGAGAAGAAAUUUUUGUGACAUUUUUGCUGAUUUUUUGUGAAGAAGAAGAAAAAGAAGAGGAAGAAGAAUAAAAAGAAGAAGAAGAAGAAGAAGAAGAAGAAGAAGAAGAAGAAGAAGAAGAAGAAGAAGAAGAAGAAGAAGAAGAAGAAGAAGAAGAAGAGGAAGAUAGUGAAGUCAUGUGUGUAAGUAUAUCCUAUAUCCAGUGGCCAAGAAAAACGCUUCCAACGAUACCUCUUUUCACUAACUACGAUAAGUAGUCUAGAAGCUAUGAAAGAACAGAUGAACAUAUCUAUACAUUACCGGUUGAACAUAUAACCCUCUUUUUAGCUUUUCCUUAGUCAGGUUAAACAAAAAAAAAAACAAAAAACAGCUAAAACGAAUCAAAGUUGAAAAUGUUUAUAGAAAAGUCCAACACUUAAUGCGAGAUAUCAUCGAAAUCUUUAUUAUUUCUUUAACCUCGAUUAUGCAAUUGCAGCCAUGUGUGUCGAAGUUUAACAACUAUUAAAUACAACAGACAGCCGGUUUUUGAGGUGACACAUUGUUGCACUUAAUUUUAACAACGUCAUUCGUAUAAAAUA